UCAAACCAUGAUUGUGGUAGACAUGUGCCUGUCCAGAUCUGAUUGGAGGUUAGAGAUCGAUGGUUUUAUGGGGGUGUUUUCUGAUCUUGGUGACCGUGUGGUGCCAGAUUGGAUUAGGCUAGGAGAUCUUGGUUGAUUUCAUCAAGUGAUGAGGGGAAGUCUAGUGCGUUUUGGAUCGGCAGUAAGGCUGAAGUUGGAGUUGUAGCGGAUCCGACGGUGGUUCAUGGAAAGAGACCAAUUUCCCUCAACACAAUGGUUUCACUUCCAAUUCAAUGACCCCAUCUGAGGACAACAGCAUAGUAUGGAGCACGGCAGAGAACUAGAGAUACUAGAGACCAGCUCGAGGGACUCUUGGAAAGGGUCGAGAUUGAGCAGGUCUCAAAUCUUGAUUUUGAAGUAAUAAAAAAGGCCAUUGCAUCUGGCUUCAUUCAUCUGUGGCAAGCUCUAACUAGGCAAAAAUCUAAAGUUCUAUAAAGGAAGUUGAAGCACUAUUGGAACAAGUACUUGUAAAUUACUAUGGUUUUCCAUGUUUUAAAAUUCUAUGGAAUUAAUUCUACCUGAUAUAGAGGGGUUCUACUCCAUUGGGUUGCUUGGAGUUGAGUAGU